AAUUGUCACCGUCGAUUCUUGCCAAAGGAUCAUGAAUUUAGGAGAAAUACUAGUGCAUUUAUGAAGAACCAAACUGAUUUUGAAGAUCCACUUGCAAAAUUGUCGCCUGAGGAAAUGUGGCAUAGAGUUAGGGAUUUACCUAAGGUAACAGACUCUCCAUCAUUUAAGAUACAUGGUUAUGGUGUUACACAUAAUUGGACAAAACAAAGCAUAUUUUGGGAGUUACCUUAUUGGAAUCAUAACCUUCUUCGUCAUAAUUUGGAUGUCAUGCAUAUUGAGAAAAACUUUUUUGACAACAUAUUCAAUACUAUGAUGGAUAUCAAUAACAAGACAAAAGAUAAUUUGAAGGCUACAAUGGACUUAAAAGAAUAUUGCAGGCGAAGUGAGUUUUACUUGACAUACCUUAACAACAAGAUUUUGAAGACCAAGGCAAGUUACACAUUCAAUUUGGAUGAGAAGCGAGAGAUUUGUGAUUGGGUCAAGAAUUUGAGGAUGCCUGAUGGAUAUGCUUCAAACUUAUCUAGAUGUGUUGAUAUGAAAGAAGGAAAGUUGAUGUCUAUGGAAAGUCAUGAUUGUCACAUUUUCAUGGAAUCUUUGAUGCCUAUUUCAUUCAAGUCCUUGCAUGAUAGAAUAUGGAAACCCAUCACAGAAAUAAGUCAUUUUUUCAAAGAAUUGUGUUCUAGCACAUUGAGGGUGGAGAACCUCAAUUACAUGGAGAGUAAUAUUUGCCUAGCUUUAAACAAGUUGGCCAAAAUAUUUCCUCCAGGCUUUUUCAAUGUAAUGGAACAUCUCCCUAUUCAUCUUGUCCAAGAGGCACGACUUGGAGGUCCAGUUCAAGGUAGAUGGAUGUAUCCAUUUACAAGGUAAUAAUUUUAAAUUAUUUUUCUUUUUUUUUUUGAACUUUUUCUUAAAAAAAUCAUCUGAAAGUCACUUUACAGGAUUAUUGGAAAAAGUAAAAGGACCAUAAAAAAUAGAUGGAGAAUAGAGGGAGCGAUGCGUGAAGCAUAUAGGGCAAGAGAAUUGUCUAAUUUUGAUUCAUAUUAUUUUGAAAGUGACGUGCCAUGUUUGAGAAAUAGACCUAAUCGACAUGACGAUGGGUGAAUUAUCGAUCGUUUGGUACCACCCUUUUCCAUAUUUAAUUAUCCAGGAAAAGGAGGUCCGAAACAUACUCCAAAGUGAAAGUUAACUGAGAUGGAGAUAAGUCAGCUACACCACAUGUAUUAUUGAAUUGUCCCGAGGUCCAACCUUAUCAUAGGUACAUACGUAUAUAUUACCUGCUUCUAAACAAAAUUUAUCACCCCUUUUACUAAUUUUAGUUGUUAUUUUGUCGGACAAUUAUUUUGUUGGUAAAUAUGGGAAUGAGGUUGUUUAUUCUAGGUUUUCAGAUUGGUCCAAAGAACAUGUAAGUGUUACUUAAUGCUAAUUAGUAAUUGCCCAUCAAUUUAUGUCUCUUUAGAAUUCUAAAUUUUCUUUAAUUCAAUAUAGGUUCAUAAUCCAGUUAAUGUCGUGGAUGUCCAAUUUUUACGUGAUAUUUCUUGGGGACCUGAUCAUAGAGUUAGAAUAAUGUCUAAGUACUUCAUCAAUGGGUACAAAUUUCAUACAGAAGAAUGGUCCAAAGGAAAGAAAACCAAUAAUAGUGGGGUGUGGGUGAAAGGUGAGGGAGAUAUUGAUUAUUAUGGUGUGCUUCAAGAGAUUAUAGAACUUGAGUAUGUUGUUGAUUGGCCAAAGAAAAACAUAGUAAUAUUUCGAUGCAAGUGGUAUGAUCCUGAUUCUAGUGGUACAAAGGUGCAUCCUCAAUACAAAAUAGUUGAAAUUAAUCACAAGAGGCAAUGUCGUUUCUAUGAUCCAUUUAUUAUUGCACAAACAAGUGUAUUACGUUCCAUAUCCUUUGUGCAAGAAUAAAUCUUUGUGGCGUGUAGUUAUAAAAACAAAGCCCGUGGGGAGAGUAGAUGUUGAGGAUGCAUUGGAUGUAGCGUAUCAAAAUGAUAUAUCAAGUGUUGAAGCAAUGGUGGAUGACGAAUUAGCAGGUGAAUUGCAGCACAGUGAAGGCAUCUAUGAAGAAUUUGAUGCUACUGUGCUUCAAUCAAAUCUGAAUAAUUAUGGGGAAGGAACAUCCAGAGCUAAUGAGGAGGAAUCUCAAACUGAUGAAUAUGAAACAAGUGAUGAGGAAUUACUUGAAGAAAAUGAAAUAAGUGAUGAGGAAGAAUUUGAUAGCGAUUAUGAAUCAAAUGAAGAAGAUUAACUUGUUUGAAUUUUUUUCUGAUUGAGUAUUCCUAUAUUUAAAGAGCUUCUGUUUUAUCAUGAUUUCUUAUAGGUAUUAUUUAUGUUGAUUUUAUUGGCUGUAAGCUUUAAAUUUUCUAGCAUAUGGUGAUUUCAUAGCAAACUAUUUUUCUAGCAUAUGGUUGUGUAAGCUUACGAUUUUUUCUUCUUGUGGUUAUAACAUUAUGUUCAUUUAAGUUCAUGAUUGUCAUUUUCUUGGCUAUUCUUGUUGGCCUAAUUAUGCAUCCUUGUCUCGUUUAUUUGUGACAAAAAUAAAUGGUUAAGUUUUUCUGUUAGUUCUGAUCUUGUGGAACUACAGACCAAUUAUCAUCAAGUUGUUGAGGCUUAAAGUGAUAAGACUAAUUUUAGCUUAAGAAUGAUUUUUGCUUGAUUUAUCCUCCUUAUAGUGAGGUUAAAGGGAAGGUAUGAUCAUCUUUCCUUUCUUCUUCGGUUAAGAUCUAAGAGUUACUCUAUAAUCUGCAUUUCAAUCAAGUUUUUGAAUUGACUAAUUUCUUAAGUCAGUUUAUAUAGAGAUAGACAUAGGGAUGAAAGAAUAGACUGAAAUUUUAAAAUUUCUUGCAGAUCUGGCUCUGUCUAUCAAACUAAAUCAGUAGUAUAUGUUUUCUUUGGGUGUGUAAUAAUUUAUUUUGGAGAAACAAGUAGUUGUUAAGGCAUAGGCUUCCGAGGUAAACUUUCUUUUGCUCUUAAAGCAUAAGCUUAUCCUGAUUCUUGUCUACAUUUGACUUGCAAAAUUUGUUCAUUAGUUAGUGCUUAGACUUCACUUCCAAGUGGAAACAUUUUGCAUACUGAAUUACUGUGAUAUGCUUGUUAUAGCUGGAAUGCACACUUAUAGCCUUCUGUUUGUAAAAAUACUUUGUUUACUGUCCGAUAAAAGUUGUAGUUUGUAAGCAGUUAGGACUUAAUAAUGUGUAGCACCUCUCUAUCUUAUGACAAAAACAACAACAUGCUCAGUCAAAUAGCACAAGUUGUACUUUAAAUAUAAAUAUCAUUGUUUUACUUUCACAACUUUUUUGUUAUCCAAGCACUUUCAUGUUUUUCUUGCUUUAUUCCAAUGUAUCUUUGUGCAUAUUUUGAGUAUCUUUUUAGGCAAUGAAAAAGACAUUCGGAAAGCGUCGAACGCAUAUAAAUAAGGGGAAACAACACGAUUCUCAACCAGGUUCACUGCCACCUACAAAUCACUCCAGCCAGCCAGAUGUAGGUACUCUUAAGACGAAUUCAUUGCCACCACUCAUUCCUCCUCAAUCAACUUCAGUGCCAUCUGUCGCUAUUACUCAACAACAUUCACUGUCACCCGCUGUUACUCCUAUGUCGACAUCAUUACCCCCUAGCUUCCCUUAUCUAUCGACUUCAUUACCACCUUCUUUUUUUAGCGUACCACCAUCUAGGCUUAUUCAAAAUAACUCCACAAUUUCUCAUGGCAGGAGUACAAGUUUUCCUAAUAACAGUGUUCCCAUACCUCAUAUAAAUUCUUCUUCGAGUUGUCAUAUCAUUCAAAAAGGCAGCUCCUCAUCUCUGCUUCCAUCAUCGUCUCAAGAUGUAUCUCCAGCAUCAUCAACACCUAGUAUAUCUAGGUCAAAUGUUGGAGGCCCUAGUACUACUACACCUACUUGUGCAAAGACUCAAUAUUCUGGAGAUGUUAGAGAAUAUGAUGCUUUUCAUAUGCUAAUUAUUACCCCCGAUGAGGAUGGGUUUGCACCAUCAUAUCUUGCCUCGCGUAUGGUUGCAGAAUCUAUUAUACCAUUCUUCGAUGAUGCUUGGGGCAGAUGGAAAUAAUUUCACUAUAAUAUCAGAGAACAAACAUGGAAUCAAUUUAAGACGAAGUGUGUAUGGCAGCCAUGUUAUGAGAAGAAAAUAAAUUCUAUUUUUGAGAAAAAUGCUCGUAUACGAGUAACUGAAAUGUUGUUUACAGCUCAAAAAAAUAUUGUGAAGCCCAGUUGGCUACGAGCAGACAUAUGGGUUAAAUUUUUGGAGAAAUGGAACACUACUGAAUUUAAGGAGAACUGUGAGCGAGUAAAGGCAGCUCAGGCAUCCGUUAAGGGUGGCUCUUUACACACCGGAGGAUCUAUGAGUUCCGCAGCCCACAAACAAGAAAUGACAAAGUUAAAAGGUGUAGAAGUGUCUUAUCCUGAGGUAUUUGAGGAGACGCAUAAGAAAAAAAAUAAGGAUAGUACAAGGAGAGAAUGGAUAGAGCCACGUGCAGAGGAGACAUUUGUUCAAUUUUAGAGAGGCUUGGAUGAAUGGCGUCAGACAUAUCCUACUUCAGAGACUGAUUCCACAUCAUCUAGUGAUAUUACAUCUAUAUGGAUAAAUGUGGCAGGAGGUGUGAAGAAAGGUAGAGUUUACGGAAUGGGAGCACAACCUUCCUCGUUUCAUCCAUCAUCAUUGUUGUUUGGAGCUUCUAUUUCUCAAUCUUCGGAAGAAAUGGAAGCAAUGCAAAAACAAAUUUCAGAGCUUACAGAGCGACUUCAAUCAUCUGAAGCUAAAUUAGCUAAAGUGCAAAAAUUCAUGGAGAAACAUAUUGUUGAGACUGAUGAAAGUGAAGGGACAUACUCUGAUGAAGAGUAGAUUAUUUUAUAGUUGUUUAGAUAUUUUCUAUGAGAUUUAGACAUGUUUUGAUCAUUUUAUUAGACUUGAUUUUGGUGAUGCUUGAGCUUUUAGACUCAGUUGAAUUGAAUAGGAUACAAUUUGAAUGUUUA